CCUGGUUACCCAACAGCCGUGGUGAUGGGUUCGCUUUAUUUUCUCUCCCCUGCUUCAACACGGGUCACUGUUGAUGGCCACAGCUGUUUAAACCAAUCACCACUACUGUGGUUGAAAGAUCACAUUAUUAACCCUGAGGAGUUACAGAAUGUUGUGAGAGAAAGAGGAGCAGUGCUAAGGCGAUAAGGGAUGGAUGAAAUCCACGUUGAAUGUUUAAAUUAAAUGAAGAAGCCGGGCGGACGUGGUGGCAUAACCCGUAAUCCCAGCCUCAGGAGGCUGAGGCAGGAGGAUCGCUGUGAGUUCAAGACCAGCUACAUAGCGAGUUCCAGGUCAGUCUCAACUACAUAGUGAGACCCUGUCUCAAAAACAAAAAACAAACAGACAAAACAAUUAAACAAAGAUUACAGAAAGGCACAGCGCCAUGAACCCCCUUCA
rnacentral:lncRNA from 1 species